GCAGAGAGGAAGGUCCAACCCUGAACAUCCCAGUCCCACCUCUCAGCCCCCACAGUAUAUAUAUCUGGUGAGAGAUCUGCUCCCCCUCCGACUACGACCUCCCCAGUGAUUAGAGAAACACAACCUCCAGCAAUCUUAUCUCCUUCUGUCUCCAAAGGCACAGUGACCAAUCAGGGCAAAGAGAUGGAAUCCCUGUCCCUCGUCCUGCUUCUCCUCUCCCCAGCGUUCGCUAUGCCAAUGAGGCGGUUGGUGUCCUCCUCAGAGUCGUCCUCUGAGUCUGAGUCCCAUGAGUCCUCCUCCUCCUCCUCCGUUGAGUCCUAUGACUCAGCUUCCUCCUCCUCAGAAGAAGAAGAGGAGCGUUCCACCCCUGGUACACUGGCCCCACCCACUGUUGCCGUAACAACUAUCACAGCGGCGGACGUGGACACGACUGCAAUGGGACCAAUCACGGAGGGGAGCACGCCCACUGCGGCCACUCCCAGCAUGGUGACGGACGCGGUGACAGG